AGGACGAACGCUGGCGGCGUGCUUAACACAUGCAAGUCGAGCGGUGAUCCUCCUUCGGGAGGUGAUCAGCGGCGAACGGGUGAGUAACACGUGGGCAACCUGCCCCUCACACUGGGAUAACCUCGGGAAACCGGGGCUAAUACCGGAUACGACCUCGAGCGGCAUCUCUUGAGGUGGAAAGCUCCGACGGUGAGGGAUGGGCCCGCGGCCUAUCAGCUUGUUGGUGGGGUAAUGGCCUACCAAGGCGACGACGGGUAGCCGGCCUGAGAGGGCGACCGGCCACACUGGGACUGAGACACGGCCCAGACUCCUACGGGAGGCAGCAGUGGGGAAUAUUGCGCAAUGGGCGAAAGCCUGACGCAGCGACGCCGCGUGAGGGAUGAAGGCCUUCGGGUUGUAAAGCUCUUUCAGUGGGGAAGAUAAUGACGGUACCCACAGAAGAAGCCCGGCUAACUUCGCGCCAGCAGCCGC
rnacentral:rRNA from 1 species